AGAGUUUGAUCAUGGCUCAGAACGAACGUUAGCGGCGCGCCUAACACAUGCAAGUCGAACGCGACAGGGGCAACUCUGUUGAGUGGCGCACGGGUGAGUAACACGUAGGUAAUCUCCCCUCGAGUGGUGGAUAACCUUCCGAAAGGAGGGCUAAUACAGCAUAAGACCACGGUCUCGAAAGAGGCUGAGGUCAAAGCGGAGGAUCGCAAGACUUCGCGCUUGAGGAUGAGCCUGCGGCCCAUCAGGUAGUUGGCGGGGUAAUGGCCCACCAAGCCUAAGACGGGUAGCUGGUCUGAGAGGAUGAUCAGCCACACUGGAACUGAGACACGGUCCAGACUCCUACGGGAGGCAGCAGUGGGGAAUCUUGCGCAAUGGACGAAAGUCUGACGCAGCGACGCCGCGUGGGUGAUGAAGGCCUUCGGGUUGUAAAGCCCUGUGGGGAGGGACGAAUAAGUUGCAGCUAAUACCUGCAGCGAUGACGGUACCUCCUUAGCAAGCACCGGCUAACUCUGUGCCAGCAGCCGCGGUAAGACAGAGGGUGCAAACGUUGUUCGGAAUUACUGGGCGUAAAGCGCGUGUAGGCGGCUAUGCAAGUCGGAUGUGAAAGCCCUCGGCUCAACCGGGGAAGUGCACCCGAAACUGCAAAGCUAGAGUCUCGGAGAGGAUCGUGGAAUUCUCGGUGUAGAGGUGAAAUUCGUAGAUAUCGAGAGGAACACCGGUGGCGAAGGCGGCGAUCUGGACGAUGACUGACGCUGAGACGCGAAAGCGUGGGGAGCAAACAGGAUUAGAUACCCUAGUAGUCC
rnacentral:rRNA from 1 species